AAAAGCGUGGUGGCUACACUCUGCUGCUAGAGGCUGGCCUCUCUGUCCGUGCCAACUCCCUGCGAGCUGGCACUACAGGGACAACGGAGAGAAAAAGGGGAUGGCAGGGAAGAUGGACGUCUGCCAUGGAUGCGUGGGGCUGGGUGCCUGGUGCCAGGGGGCGGCAGGGCCAACACUCAGACAAAACCCCCAUCAGAGAAGGCAGCACAUCUGAGAGGCACAGCGCCUGGCAGAGGAGCUGCGGAAGUCCUGACUGGAAUGGGUGCAGCCCUCCCUUGGUUCAGAGUGGGAUCACUUCCGUGCCAAGAAGAGGGCAAAAAGGCUGCUGGACACCCCACUUUUUGCAGGACAGUGGGUAGGCAUUUGAAUCCUGAUCACUCAGGAUCAGAAGCCCACCAGGAAUAGGACAUGCCAGAGGUGCUGGCUGAGAUGACAAAGAGGAGUGGAUCAGGUGGGUGAGACCAGAAGAGAAGAAAGCACCUACUGGGUGGCCAAGCAGGAAGGAGGGGUCUAGAGGCAGAAAGGACAAGUGGAGGGAGAAGAAAAAGAGAAAAGGAGCUGGCAGAGAACCAGCUUCCUCCCUAAUCUUCCGGACACUUGGUUUCCCAGAGCCUUCACUCUGGGAAAGAGGGAAAAACACACCCAUCUGACUGGGAAGGACUCAGGUGUGUACCCUAUCCACCCCCUUACUCCCCACUGGCUUCUGCUACCUGCUCUCCAUGUGGGCUUCUCUAGCUCUCUGCUAAGGGAGAGGAGGGGAGAAGAGGUAGGGGCAGGCAGCUCUCCAAAGAUUCUCCUUCUCUGAAUUCAGAGAGAGUGUAUACCCACAUCUGCACAUGGAUGAAAGUGUGGCUUCAUGGAUUCAGCAAUAAAUCAAAUAAGCCCUU